rnacentral:rRNA from 1 species
UACGGAGGGUGCAAGCGUUAAUCGGAAUUACUGGGCGUAAAGCGCACGUAGGUGGUUGACUAAGUCAGCUGUGAAAUCCCCCGGGCUCAACCUGGGACUUGCAGUUGAAACUGGUGAGCUAGAGUAGGGUAGAGGGGUGUGGAAUUCCAGGUGUAGCGGUGAAAUGCGUAGAUAUCUGGAGGAACAUCAGUGGCGAAGGCGACACCCUGGACUCAUACUGACACUGAGGUGCGAAAGCGUGGGGAGCAAACAGG